CGCCCGCGUGGGCGUGCCUGGGCUUGGGCCACACCCCGCACACCCAGGCCUGGGCCAGCCCACGUGCCCGUGUGCCCGUGUGCUUGGGCCUGGGCUGUGCCCUGCACGCACCCAACCAGCGCGCUGGCCGCCCGUGGCCGCACCGCCGCCACUCCACCAACCCACUGCCGGCCGCCGGCAGUCCUCUGUCAUCUUGAGUUUCGUGCCG
rnacentral:lncRNA from 1 species